AAAGGGCUUCGGCCCCGUACAGUGGCGCACGGGUGAGUAACACGUAGGCAAUCUCCCCUCGAGUGGUGGAUAACCUUCCGAAAGAGGGCUAAUACAGCAUGAGACCACGAGCUCGCAGAGCUUGUGGCCAAAGCGGACCUCUUCAUGAAAGUUCGCGCUUGAGGAUGAGCCUGCGGCCCAUCAGCUAGUUGGUAGGGUAACGGCCUACCAAGGCGAAGACGGGUAGCUGGUCUGAGAGGACGGACAGCCACACUGGAACUGAGACACGGUCCAGACUCCUACGGGAGGCAGCAGUGGGGAAUCUUGCGCAAUGGACGAAAGUCUGACGCAGCGACGCCGCGUGAGCGAUGAAGGCCUUCGGGUUGUAAAGCUCUGUGGGGAGAGACGAAUAAGGUGCAGCUAAUACCUGCAUCGAUGACGGUAUCUCCUUAGCAAGCACCGGCUAACUCUGUGCCAGCAGCCGCGGUAA
rnacentral:rRNA from 1 species